GCGGAAUGGGGCGUCAUUUGCCCCAGGGCCUUCUGAAGCUCUGGAGUCGCUUCAAGCGUUGGAGAAACCGGAGGAUCCAGCCAGAGCAGCCGGUGGGCGAAGGUGGUCCAGAUGGGCCUAACCCCGUCCACGUCCAUCCUUCACCCACUCCUCAGGUGGGUCACUCAUACACACCCCAUCCACCUUCUCCUCCACGCUCUCUUAUUUUUGGUCUGCUGGUCCUUCUGUUUCUCCUUCACACUCUCCUGUUCCUUGUUGCUUUGAUGUCCUUGCCUUUUCUCCUUCACCCUCACCCUCUCCUACUCCUUCUUUUUCUUCUUCUUCUUCCUCACUCUCUUCUGCUUCCUCUGGUACUUGGUGCUCUGACAUCUUUCCUUUUUCUCCUUACCCUUCUCCUUCUCCUUCACCCUCUCCUAUUCCUUCUUUGUCUUCUUCUUCUUCCUCACUCACCUCUGCUUACUCUGCUUCUCUGUGCUCUGACAUCUCUUCUUUUUCUCCUUACCCCUGUCCUACUCCCGCUUUUUCUUCUUCCUCGCCCUCCUCUGCUUACUCUAGUACUUGUUGCUCUGAUGUCCUUCCAUUUUGUCCUUCACCCUCUCCUGUUCCUAGUUGCUCUGCUGUCCUUCCUCUUUCUCCUUCACCCUCUUCUACUCCUUGUUCUUCCUUCUCCUCACCCUCUUCUGCUUACUCUCUCCUGUGACGGAGAGAGUGAAGGAGCUCAUCCAGCAGCUCAUCUUCCAGGAGAGGUAAGGAAGACAGUGAUGAGGAGGGGGCUGCUCUUGGAAGACUCUACUGGGGGACACUGUUUCCUACAGUAA
ensembl:lncRNA